UCGAGGAAAUCAACGGCGUGUUAUGUAGCUGUCAUUGAGCGUUUUUAGUUUUUUACUCAACAUGUUACUGUUUUAUCUCACAUGACAGAUUUUGAAGCAGGUCUUCGAAAAGCAUUACGAGAGUCAUAUCCCAAUGCAACCGCUCAAAGUUGUUAUUUUCAUUUUGUACAAGCCAUUAUUAAAAAAGCCAAAGAGUUAGGUAUAUUAAAAAAAAUAGAAAACUGGGAAGACGGAAAAAAAUUUUUUAGAAAGAUACUUGCUCUAGCACUGCUACCAAGUGGUGAUAUUUUACAAGCAUUUCAUUGGUUACUCCAAAUACAUACUCCUUUCUAUCAUAUUUUCAAAAACUUUCUCGACUAUUUCAUAGAUUAUUGGUUACUAAAAAUUACACCAGCAGGAUUUAGUGUCUAUAGAUUAAAAAUUAAAACUAACAACUAUACCGAAUCAUAUCAUCGAAGACUCAACAAGUUUUUCGGCUUACAUUCAUCACUUUGGCAAUUUACCUUGAACCUCCGACGCCUUCAUGAAAUCACAAAAAUUGAAGUAUAAUCGUUAUUACUAUUGCAACCUGUACGAAGAGAGACACGACCGAAAGAUUUACUUCGAGCUCAAUUGCUGGACCCCUUGUAGGAAAAAAAAAAAAAUUGAUAACCGGGCCAGUCUUGGCACAAUACUGGGCUACCGAGGCUCGGCCUCCCAAGGUUGGUCCGAGAUCCGACCAACGUUCAAGUGACGAGUCUUGGUUUGCUAGUCUUGGGCCAAGAUUCAGCCAAUGCUCAAGUGACAAGCCUUGGUUUGCCAGUCUUGGGACAAGGUUCAGCCAAUACUCAAGUGACAAGCCUUGGGCCAAGAUUCAGCCAAUGCUCGAGUGACAAGCCUUGGUUUGCCAGUCUUGGGACAAGGUUCAGCCAAUACUAAAGUGACAUGCCUUGGUUUGCCAGUCUUGGGACAAGGUUCAGCCAAUGCUCAAGUGACAAGCAUUCGUUUGCCAGUCUUGGGACAAGGUUCAGCCAUUAUACAAGUGGCAAGCCUUGGUUUACCAGUCUAAAUAACAAAUGGUACCUAAAGACCCCUGGCUUUUGUGAAUAGCGUAACAGCUUAGUGGAUAAGACGCUUGCCUAGCAAUCAUGAAGGACCAGGUUCGAGACCCAGCAAAUGCAAAACAAAAAUGAGUUUCAUCGAUCCACCUGAUUUCUCUGUGUACAAAUUUAUUUCCAUAUGUUACCAUCACGCACAUGUCUACUAGUAUUUUUUUUUUUUAAUUUAUUUUUAAUAAGCUAGGUGCUUAUUUAGCAACAGUCUUGGCACAAUACUGGCUCUCGAUAUUGGGCCAAUACUUAGAUGCAGUCUUGGCACAACACUGUCACUCAAGCUUGGCUGGGUGUUAUCAUUUCGAUGCUUAGACAGACUUGGGCCAAGCUUGGAUUUCAAACUUUCCCCAGAGUUAAUAAGUCUUGCGCCAAGCCUCGGCCAAGCUUGGGCCUAUUGUUUCUUCCUAUAAGGGACAGGGCAUGGGAAUUAUAUGAUUUUGAUGUGUUAGACAUUCCACAUUUUCUUGAACUUGCUGAAUAUAUAUCACCUGUGUUGGCCGAUGGAAAUAUAUAAAUAAGUAUCGAGGAUGUAGAUAAUUUUAUUCAUAUUCCCAUUUACAGAUACGUUGCAGUCGCUGAGGAUAAUUAUGUGGCUAUUAAUAAUGAUGAAGCGAACCAUGUGCAGCAUAUACUCUUCAUCCAAUAAAAUUAGAAAAUUUCAUUAAGAAAAAAGAGCUUGGAAAUUGAGUGAAAAAUAACUUUGUCUCAAAAAAAACUAUGUUAAAUUGCUACUGAAGAACGUCUACAGUUAAAAUGCCUUUUGUGCAACGAGUCAGUGCAGAACUUUGCUUGUGUAUUAGAAAUAAUAACGUAAAUAU